UACGUAGGGGGCAAGCGUUGUCCGGAAUUAUUGGGCGUAAAGAGCUCGUAGGCGGUUUGUCGCGUCUGCUGUGAAAACUCGGGGCUUAACUCCGGGCCUGCAGUGGGUACGGGCAGACUAGAGUGCGGUAGGGGAGACUGGAAUUCCUGGUGUAGCGGUGAAAUGCGCAGAUAUCAGGAGGAACACCGGUGGCGAAGGCGGGUCUCUGGGCCGUAACUGACGCUGAGGAGCGAAAGCGUGGGGAGCGAACAGGA
rnacentral:rRNA from 1 species